CCUACGGGUGGCUGCAGUGGGGAAUAUUGGACAAUGGGCGAAAGCCUGAUCCAGCCAUGCCGCGUGUGUGAAGAAGGCCUUAGGGUUGUAAAGCACUUUCAGUGGGGAAGAAAGCCUUGGGGCUAAUACCCUCGAGGAAGGACAUCACCCACAGAAGAAGCACCGGCUAACUCCGUGCCAGCAGCCGCGGUAAUACGGAGGGUGCGAGCGUUAAUCGGAAUUACUGGGCGUAAAGCGCGCGUAGGCGGUCUGAUAAGCCGGUUGUGAAAGCCCCGGGCUCAACCUGGGAACGGCAUCCGGAACUGUCAGGCUAGAGUGCAGGAGAGGAAGGUAGAAUUCCCGGUGUAGCGGGGAAAUGCGUAGAGAUCGGGAGGAAUACCAGUGGCGAAGGCGGCCUUCUGGACUGACACUGACGCUGAGGUGCGAAAGCGUGGGUAGCAAACAGGAUUAGAUACCCCGGUAGUC
rnacentral:rRNA from 1 species